rnacentral:rRNA from 1 species
GACGAACGCUGGCGGCGUGCUUAACACAUGCAAGUCGAACGGGCCUUGUCCCCUUUUUUUUUGGGGGUGGGGUUAGUGGCGAACGGGUGAGUAACACGUGAGUAACCUGCCCCUCACUUCUGGAUAACCGCUUGAAAGGGUGGCUAAUACGGGGUGUUCUGGCCUGCUCGCAUGGGUGGGUUUGGAAAGAUUCGACCGGUUUGGUUGUUUUGGUGGGGGAUGGGCUCGCGGCCUAUCAGCUUGUUGGUGGGGUGAUGGCCUGCCAAGGCUUUGACGGGUAGCCGGCCUGGGGGGGUGGGCGGUCACACUGGGACUGAGCCACGGCCCAGACUCCUACGGGAGGCAGCAGUGGGGAAUAUUGCACAAUGGGCGCAAGCCUGAUGCAGCGACGCCGCGUGAGGGAUGGAGGCCUUCGGGUUGUGAACCUCUUUCGCCAGUGAAGAAGGUCCUGCUCUGUGUGGUGGGGUUGACGGUAGCUGGGUUAAUGAGGCACCGGCUAACUACG